rnacentral:lncRNA from 1 species
UUUAUUAUGCUCUACAGAAAAGACACAUGUUUACAUGAUUUUCUCGUUUGGAUGUGAAAUGCUUCCUGUUUACAACAUAACAGCUCAUUGAGUCUUUCACAGGACAGAUGUUCUUUAUCAGGGCAUCUACACCAUGCAUAGGGCCGCUCUUCUCCCGCAGACUCAGUUGCCCCUCAGACCAGGUGUGGAUCCCCACAUGGCCAUUGCGGCAGAGCUCUGCUCCUAAGAGAGUCUCAGACCAUCACGUGCUCUGGUGCUGAAUGACUGCCCUGUGUGACAAAACACAGCCUCUUUUUUUUUUUUUCAUUCACCAUGUGUGGCACAGUUUGACUUCAUUCUAAUACUAAUACUAAAUGGUUUUUACUUCUUCUUUCACCUGUUUUCUUCCUCCAGAUACUUACUGAGGCAGAGGAGAGUGGGUGGUGGGAAAAAAGAGUGGGUUGGGGGUAAGGAGGGAAUCUUUUUUUUGACGCUUUUGCUUUAAAAUUCAGAGUUGGAUUGGUCAGGAUUUAUGGGCUCUUUGCCAUGUAAAUUUUUCUCAUUCUCCAGGUUCUAGCCCUCCAGGUUCAUUCCCUCCAGGUUCUAGCUUGCCAGGUUCUAGCCUGCCGGGUUCUAGCUCUCCAUGUUCUAGCUCUACAGGUUCUAGCCCUUCCAGGUUCUAGCCCUCCAGGUUCUGGCUCUCCAGGUUCUAGCCCUUCUAGGUUCUAACCUGCCAGGUUCUAGCCCUCCAGGUUCUAGCCCUUCUAGGUUCUAGCCCUCCAGGUUCUAGCCCUCCAGGUUCUAGCUCUCCAGAUUCCAGCCCUCCAGGUUCUAGCCCUUCUAGGUUCUAGCCCUCCAGGUUCUAGCCCUCCAGGUUCUAGCUCUCCAGAUUCCAGCCCUCCAGGUUCUAGCCCUUCUAGGUUCUAGCUCUCCAGGUUCUAGCCCUCCAGGUUCUAGUUCUCCAGGUUCUAGCUCUCCAGGUUCUAGCUCUCCAACCAGCUAAUAAAUAUUCAUUUAUCAAGUGAAUGAGUGCUGCCCUGGCACUGCCGAUGGUGAACACCAUUGCCAUUCCUUUUCACACUCUUCUAGGGCUCAUACUGGGCCACCUUCCAAUAAACCAUUGAUUGACAGGAACAAUCCCUUGGUUGCUGAGACAGGAACAGUCCCUGAGCAGGCCUGCACUCUCCCCCUUCCCAGGUACCGGCUGGUGGUGGGGGGUCUCAGCACUGUGAUCCUCUGGGCAAGACCGAUUAGAAAUAUCUUCCUCUGCCUCAUCACAAAUCAGACUUUGAAGACAUGGCCUUCUCUCCAAAUGCUCCUGUGUGUGUGGCGGUUGGGGCCUCAGGGUGGUGGGAAUGACAGGUGGAAGGGAGCCAAUGAGCACCUACUGUGUGCCAGACACUGGUGCUUCACACCGCCACCGGCUCCCAAUACUGAUUCUGCUCCACGGAGCUAUUUCUAGACCUCAGUGUCUUUUCCUUAUAGUAAACAUAUCCCAGUUACGUCUGCGUAAUGAUGCCUCACAUGUACGUAGCACCCUUUGCUUUUCUAAGUACUUUAUACCUGUUACUGCCUUUAACCCUCACAACGACUUCAUGUUACAGAAGAGGGAACUGAGGCAGGGACAGAUGGUUGUGCAAUAGUUAUUGGUUGAGCUGGAACCUUGGUCUCCCCCUUCUGCUGUCCAUAUCACCCACAGCACCCUGCUCGACCGUCUCGUCGAACAGCUUUCUGGUGGUGGCAGUGCCCAGUCGUUCCCACUUGAGUCUUUGAGUUCCUUCAAGAUGGAGAUGGCUCCUUCUCUUUCUUCCCUCUUGCCUACAGUGCUCAAUACUGCAUAUACAGCAAGUGCUCAAUAUGUGCUUAUUGGAUUCUUCUUUGGCACAGACCUCCUUGUCCAUCAGUGAGGGGAGCCAUAAAAUCCUGGUCUCCAGGUUGUUAUCAGGGACCCCUCAGGGCUUAACCUUUAUUAAUGCAAGAAAUUGUCCUUCAAAGUUCUAGCUGAAUAGAUUAAAGAAACCCAGGGCAACAACUCACUUGUGCACUCAGCCAUUGCACCAAAGCUGGAUGGCAGUUCUCCUGGAGAUCUAAGUUGUCUUGCUGGGGCAGGGACGGAGAACACACGGGAGGGAAGCUCAGUCACUCCUCUCCCUGCCCCCAGGCCUCCUCCACUCCUGGGAAGGAGCAGGCUGGCUCAGGUGUGGCAGCAAAUAAGAACAGUAAUGCUGUUGUGAUUUUGGAGUCCUUGGCUGUGCGUGAGUUCACCCCAUCCUCACAGCCAUGCUCCCUGCAAAAUUGGGCAGGGCAGGAAUUAGUCUCCGGUGUUUUACCGGAGACAUCAACUCAUUUCCCAAGGUCGUGCAUAGAUGUCUCCUUGGCAUUCCUGGGCCCAUGCUGAAAAGCAACUGUCCCUCAAUCCUUACACAAAUUCACAGCAGCCCUGCUGGCGUUUGCUCACUGUCUGCUCCCUGCCCAGUCCUGCAGUUUGUGAAUCUGGCGUUCCACGGAGAUGGAGGUCCGCAGUGUGCCCAUGGAGUUCUCCAUCUGAAUGGGUUCUGACCUGCAGCCCCCUUUCUGGCACACUCCCUGGUACACCUCCCAAGACUUCUUUCGGAAGCGCUUGCCCACGAUCACGUACACCAGUGGGUUGAGGCAGCUGUUGCUGUAGGCCAUGAAGGAGGCGAUCUGUGUGAUUACAUCGAUGAUGCGCUCGUCCUGGCAGCUGGAGAGGAUGCCGAGGCGAUGCAGCGUAUCCAGGAAGGUGCUGAUCUGGAAGGGCAGCCAGCAGAUGAUGAAUAGCAGCAGCACAACCAGGACUAGCACCGUGGCCCUCCUCUCUGUCUGGAUCUCCUUGAACUUCUGCAUCUCGUUGUUCCGCAGCACCUGCAUGAUCUGCAUCGUGCAGAAGGUGAUGACACUCAGGGGCAGCAGGAAGCCCACGACAUUCAGGAGCAUGUUGGUGAACACUUCCCAGAUGAGGGAUGGGUAGCUGAUGACACAAGCGGUGACGUUGUGGCCCUCAUCGCUGUACUCCUUCAUGGUCCGGAACACCAGCAUGGGUGAGCUCAGGAGCAGCGUACACCCCCAGAUCACCAAGCUGUAGAGCUUGGCCCAGCGCACGCCGCGCAUCCGGCCCAUGGACAUGGUUUUCACCAGGGCCAGGUAGCGGUCGAUGCUCACCAGCAUCAGGAAACAGAUGCUGCUGUACAGGUUCAUGGAGAUAAUGGCAUUCACCACGCGGCAGAGCGUCUCCCCAAAGAGCCAGUCGAAGUUGUUGGAGAUGGUGAUGGCCCAGAAGGGCAGCCCGCAGGCCAGGAUCAGGUCUGCUGCGGCCAGGUUCCCCAGGUAGAUCUCUGCCACCGUGCAGCUGCUCUUGUGCAGGCAGAAGACGCUGAGGACAAAGAUGUUCUCUAGGGUGGCCAGCACGAACAGCACCCAGAGGAAGGGGGGCUGG